rnacentral:misc_RNA from 1 species
UUUUUUUUUUUUUUUUUUUAUAAUUUUGACAAGGGGAAAGUUUGAGAUUUGGAUAAUACUGGUCUCAGAAUUGAUAUGCCAGUCUUUCUCAGGGGAAGUUAGCAGAGCUGGUUGAGCACAUCUGUUCUGGGAACCUGCUACGCUAUUUCAAGUAUUGUGUGCUAGCUCGGGGGUUGUUCCUUUUUUUUUGUCGUCUCUUUGUUGGCUGCACAAACCUAAUUGUAAUUUGUUGGGAUUGAUGUAUUAAAAUUAUUGAGGAUCCAGCUGGUGUGUUCUUGAUGCUGCUAAUGAUAAUGAUAAAUGUGGGCUAGGGGAAUUGCCUUGUUUUAAUUCACUGUAUCCCAGCUUUUUAUCCUUGUUCUACAUGUAUAAGACAAUACGGUAGACAAACUUGGGCCUAAGGUAGUGCUUGGACUGAGUUCUAUUACAACUCUAUUAAGCCUUAUUGCCAGCUCAAUGAUGAUUACAAUUGGUUUUCUGGAAACACUGUAUUGUAUUCUUAGCCGGUUCUGUGGCUGUUUGGCUGACAGUGUCCAGAGGUUGUACCGUUUCACAUGCAUUAGGGCUAUAAUCUUUCUCGUCCUCUCCUCCCUAAAUUUGCG